rnacentral:SRP_RNA from 3 species
CUUCGGGCUCCGUGCGACGCGACCCCGCAAACCCCGCCAGGUCCGGAAGGAAGCAACGGUAGCGGAUUCUCGCGGGCGCCGCGGACGUCCCGGAGUCU